CCAACGACCGUACCGCAAACCGACACUGGUGCGCGAGAUGAGUAUUCUAAGGCGCUUGAGAGAACUCAGGAGAAGGAACUCGCAAAUUGACACCGUAACUUCGGAAGAAGGUGUGCCCUAUUAGUGUGAAGUGAACAACGGAGCAUGAAUGGGUUGCAAAAAAUCGGUGGCUGCGACUGUUUAUUAAAAACACAGCACUCUGCAAACACGAAAGUGGACGUAUAGGGUGUGACGCCUGCCCGGUGCUGGAAGAUUAAAUGAUGGGGUGCAAGCUCUUGAUUGAAGUCCCAGUAAACGGCGGCCGUAACCAUAACGGUCCUAAGGUAGCGAAAUUCCUUGUCGGGUAAGUUCCGACCUGCACGAAUGGCGUAACGAUGGCCACACUGUCUCCUCCUGAGACUCAGCGAAGUUGAAAUGUUUGUGAUGAUGCAAUCUCCCCGCGGAAAGACGGAAAGACCCCAUGAACCUUUACUGUAGCUUUGUAUUGGACUUUGAACAGAUCUGUGUAGGAUAGGUGGGAGGCUUUGAAGCAGGGUCGCUAGAUCUUGUGGAGCCAACGUUGAAAUACCACCCUGGUGUGUUUGAGGUUCUAACCUAGGUCCAUUAUCUGGAUCGGGGACAGUGCAUGGUAGGCAGUUUGACUGGGGCGGUCUCCUCCCAAAGCGUAACGGAGGAGUUCGAAGGUACGCUAGUUACGGUCGGACAUCGUGACGAUAGUGCAAUGGCAUAAGCGUGCUUAACUGCGAGACUGACAAGUCGAGCAGAUGCGAAAGCAGGACAUAGUGAUCCGGUGGUUCUGUAUGGAAGGGCCAUCGCUCAACGGAUAAAAGGUACUCUGGGGAUAACAGGCUGAUACCGCCCAAGAGUUCAUAUCGACGGCGGUGUUUGGCACCUCGAUGUCGGCUCAUCUCAUCCUGGGGCUGUAGCCGGUCCCAAGGGUAUGGCUGUUCGCCAUUUAAAGAGGUACGUGAGCUGGGUUUAAAACGUCGUGAGACAGUUUGGUCCCUAUCUUCCGUGGGCGCUGCAGAUUUGAGGAAGCCUGCUCCUAGUACGAGAGGACCGGAGUGGACACACCUCUGGUGUAUCGGUUGUCACGCCAGUGGCAUUGCCGAGUAGCUAGUGUGGAAGAGAUAACCGCUGAAAGCAUCUAAGCGGGAAACUCGUUUCAAGAUGAGAUCUGCCGGGGCCUUGAGCCCCCUAAAGAGUCGUUCAAGACCAGGACGUUGAUAGGUCAGGUGUGGAAGCGCAGUAAUGCGUUAAGCUAACUGAUACUAAUUGCUCGUGCGGCUUGACC
rnacentral:rRNA from 1 species